GCUAAACGCGAAGAACCUUACCAGCCCUUGACAUGGACCGGAAUGCCCGCAGAGACGUGGGCAGCCGCAAGGCCGGUCCACAGGUGUUGCAUGGCUGUCGUCAGCUCGUGUCGUGAGAUGUUGGGUUAAGUCCCGCAACGAGCGCAACCCUCGUUCUAUGUUGCCAGCACGUUAUGGUGGGAACUCAUGGGAUACUGCCGGGGUCAACUCGGAGGAAGGUGGGGAUGACGUCAAAUCAUCAUGCCCCUUAUGUCUUGGGCUUCACGCAUGCUACAAUGGCCGGUACAAAGGGCUGCAAUACCGUGAGGUGGAGCGAAUCCCAAAAAGCCGGUCCCAGUUCGGAUUGAGGUCUGCAACUCGACCUCAUGAAGUCGGAGUCGCUAGUAAUCGCAGAUCAGCAACGCUGCGGUGAAUACGUUCCCGGGUCUUGUACACACCG
rnacentral:rRNA from 1 species